UACGAAGGGACCAAGCGUUGUUCGGAUUUACUGGGCGUAAAGGGCUCGUAGGCGGCUUAACAAGUCACUUGUGAAAUCUCCGGGCUUAACUCGGAACGGCCAAGUGAAACUGUCAAGCUAGAGUGCAGAAGGGGCAAUCGGAAUUCUUGGUGUAGCGGUGAAAUGCGUAGAUAUCAAGAGGAACACCUGAGGUGAAGACGGGUUGCUGGGCUGACACUGACGCUGAGGCGCGAAAGCCAGGGGAGCAAACGGG
rnacentral:rRNA from 1 species